AGAGCGAACGCUGGCGGCAGGCCUAACACAUGCAAGUCGAGCGCUCGUAGCAAUACGAGAGCGGCAGACGGGAGAGUAACACGUGGGAACGUACCCUUUGGUUCGGAACAACACAGGGAAACUUGUGCUAAUACCGAAUAAGCCCUUACGGGGAAAGAUUUAUCGCCGAAGGAUCGGCCCGCGUCUGAUUAGCUAGUUGGCGGGGUAAUGGCUCACCAAGGCGACGAUCAGUAGCUGGUCUGAGAGGAUGACCAGCCUCAUUGGGACUGAGACACGGCCCAAACUCCUACGGGAGGCAGCAGUGGGGAAUAUUGGACAAUGGGCGCAAGCCUGAUCCAGCCAUGCCGCGUGGAUGAUGAAGGCCUUAGGGUUGUAAAGUCCUUUAACGGGGAAGAUAAUGACGGUACCCGUAGAAUAAGCCCGGCUAACUUCGUGCCAGCAGCCGC
rnacentral:rRNA from 1 species